GAUUAUGGAUAUCAUUAUAAUGUGAUAUGGCACAGGUGUUAUCUUUUCCUAGUGUCAAAGGCUGCAAUAGAGAGAAGGGAUGCAACUUUCU